AAAUUACAAAUUUACUAAAGCAAAAGUACACUUCACAGAGUGAGAGCAGGCUCAAGCAAGCGGCCCAAGACCCCCAGUUGUAGUGUUCUUUAGGGUUUUUAUCAAACUAAAAUAAUUUGGUAACACCCAUAGGUACACUUUAGAGGCUGCCAAUUGGUAACACUCUAAGCAAAUGAAGGCUUGGUUCGUGAGCAAUCAGAGGCUGAAGUGGAAGCAUGGCCCCUGAUGAAUAAGAGGCAUUUCUCGUUUGUGAUGUAGGGGAGAGGGGGUUUUGUAGAGGGAGGAGCCUCUGGCCUCUUGUCACUUGGGCAUGCAGAGGUGGGGUUUUCCUUUCAGCCCAGUUCGAAGAAGAAAGCCAUGGGUUGGCCUUAGGCUCCUUGUCUCCAGACCCUAUUCUCCUGCCUCAGCUGAAGCUGAUGUGUCUCUGAUUCCAAAGCCUGAAAAAUUUUCGUUAUAUUAUACCAGCUUUGUUACUGAAAAGAACAUUCAGGAAUGUAGUUAAUAACCACUGGUGUUCAAGGACCUGUUUUAAUUAAUAAAAAUGAUUUACAUUAAACAUUAAAUUUUAAUUUAAAAUAAAUGCAUUUGAGGCAUUGAAAAUAAUUUGUUUUCUAAAUAUGACAUUCCCACAAGUUUUAUACAUUAUGAAUUGCCUUUAAAUAUUCUCCCUCUUCUAGUCCUUAGACACUGAGGAGUAUAUGUCAACCCAUUUGACAAGGUUCAAAUUAAUGCAUUUCCUGAAUUAUCCAAUCUAAAUUAAUGAGGUUGUUCAUAUGGACCACAAUAAUUUCAGCAAUUUCUUCUAUUUUUUUUAAUCUGUGCUGUGGUUUAAAUCUUUUCUCUUGACCUGUCUUUUAAUUCACUAUCCCUAUUUUCUGGUGUGUUUAAUCUGCUGUUAAAUCCAUUUAUUGAGUUCUUAAUUGUGGAUAUUGUAUUUUUCAAGCCAAUAACUGCCAUUUGAUUAUUCCAUAUAGAUUUCAGCUCUCCAGUAAAAUAAUUUAUCUUCUGCUCUAUUUUCUUCAACAUAGUAAUCACAGCUAUUCUAAAGUCAUUGUCUAAUAAUUCUAAUACCUAGUUCUCCAGUGAGAUUGUUUACAUUAUCUUUUUUAUUUUUGGUCUUGGGUUUUGGUUGUAUAGUCCUAUCAUAUCACAAGACAAGUCACUUUUGAUUGGAUAAUGGACAUUGUUUACAACAAUUGUAAAAGCUUUGGAUGAUGUUAUCAUUUUCAUCGAAGUUCAUUCUUUUCUUUGCUAGACAAAGUGAGAGCAAAUCCUCUUAACUCAAGGAUUGAACCAAGUCAAGGCUGGAUGACUUUUAGCUAAUGCUCAGUCCAUUUCUAGCUUGCUAUUUUACCUAUGGUUUUGUGCCCCAGGACUUUCAGCUGAGAACAUAAUUUGUUCACCAUGACCCCAAACCCUUGAAGGUCCUGAAAUCUACCUUCUGUGUUCUGUGAAGCUGAAAAAUUCUGAUCUGCAUUUCAGAUGUUUUCAGAUAUUAUUUAUGGUCUUCUGCACAGUGAAAUUUUCAAAUGUGGAAAAUGUCUUGGGAAGAAAAAUGAUGUGGUUUUGAAAAUCCUCAAGAAUCUGGUUUUGUCUCUUCGGCCAGCUUAGACUGACAAAUGGUAUGAUGCCUUUGUCCUCCAGAAAGGCCCUUAUCCUGGGCAAAGCUUACCUGUUCUCAGCCCCUUGUCUGUGCCCAGAACAAGCAAGUUCUGGGAACACUGGUUACAGGUUGUCAUCUGCUGACCUCUCUAUUGCUAGAUCCUCUCUGGAAUCUUAGACCCUGUAUCCUGAUUUCUUCAGUAGCUCACCGAUGCCUUUAAAUUUAGAAGUUUUACAUUUUGUCUGGAUUUUUUUGUUAUGUAAAAGAUCAUUAGCCUACAGAAAACUACUCCAUCUUAUCCAGGUCCAGAAGUCUCACAUCUGUGGGCUCCUCUCCCUUGCCCUUGCAUUAUACGAUGCACAUACUUUUCCAUGGUCCAGGUUUCUUUUGUGCUCUGGAAUUUAAAUAUAAACAAACAAAACC
rnacentral:lncRNA from 1 species